rnacentral:rRNA from 1 species
UGAGUAACGCGUAUGCAACUUGCCUAUCAGAGGGGGAUAACCCGGCGAAAGUCGGACUAAUACCGCAUAAAGCAGGGGCCCCGCAUGGGGAUAUUUGCUAAAGAUUCAUCGCUGAUAGAUAGGCAUGCGUUCCAUUAGGCAGUUGGCGGGGUAACGGCCCACCAAACCGACGAUGGAUAGGGGUUCUGAGAGGAAGGUCCCCCACAUUGGUACUGAGACACGGACCAAACUCCUACGGGAGGCAGCAGUGAGGAAUAUUGGUCAAUGGGCGAGAGCCUGAACCAGCCAAGUCGCGUGAGGGAUGAAGGUUCUAUGGAUCGUAAACCUCUUUUAUAAGGGAAUAAAGUGGCCCACGUGUGGGUUUUUGUAUGUACCUUAUGAAUAAGGAUCGGCUAACUCCGUGCCAGCAGCCGCGGUAAUACGGAGGAUCCGAGCGUUAUCCGGAUUUAUUGGGUUUAAAGGGUGCGUAGGCGGCCUUUUAAGUCAGCGGUGAAAGUCUGUGGCUCAACCAUAGAAUUGCCGUUGAAACUGUGAGGCUUGAGUGCGUUUGAGGCAGGCGGAAUGCGUGGUGUAGCGGUGAAAUGCUUAGAUAUCACGCAGA